UACGUAGGGUGCAGGCGUUAAUCGGAAUUACUGGGCGUAAAGCGUGCGCAGGCGGUUUCUUAAGUCAGAUGUGAAAGCCCCGGGCUUAACCUGGGAACUGCGUUUGAAACUGGGAGACUUGAGUGUGGCAGAGGGGGGUGGAAUUCCACGUGUAGCAGUGAAAUGCGUAGAUAUGUGGAGGAACACCGAUGGCGAAGGCAGCCCCCUGGGUUAACACUGACGCUCAUGCACGAAAGCUAGGGGAGCAAACAGG
rnacentral:rRNA from 1 species